ensembl:lncRNA
GUCACUGGGGAGCUGGUGGGCCUUGAAGUGGGCAAAGAAUCAAGUACGUGGUGCAGUAGAAGCUCAGGAAGGAACAAGGCACCACUGGAGGCUCUUGAGGGGAGAGCAAUGUCCCUGCGACUGAACGGAACUGAGCUGAAUGUCCCUGGAUGGCUUCUCUGACAGAGCGGGUACCUCCCACUCACCCCAGGAUGAUUCUUGCUCCUUUGCUUGGCUGCUGAGGUUGAAGGAAAUUCAGUGGUCAUGUCUGUGGCUCUCCAGCUGUUUCACUUUUUACUAUGGAUGCUAAAUAACCCAUGUUGAACGUUUCACCUGGUCGUGUCUUGAUGAGCAAGUGCACUGCUGGAUCUCAUAGGCACGUCAUACGUGGGCACAUUUUCCUGGAUGUCAUCUGCCUUGCAGAACACGCCCCUCUUCACUGUCGCCUGCACUCCCCUGACAGCUCAGCGCAUUUUUCUGGCAAUAGCGAGACCACCAAGCACCAGCAGGCUGACCAUGAAUACUGAGGAAGGCCGGUUUCCUCUAUACCUAAGAGCCUGGGGACACCUUUGGCAUUCUCCACUCUCAAAGAGCCUUCCUCUGUGAGGAGCUGCAGGAACGGAGCUGACAGAAUCCUGUUCCUCAGUAGGUACUGCUUCCCAGUGAAAACAAACUGAAAUCAUCUGAGAAAAAGUCAGUCCAGGAUCACCAAGUAAAGAACAGAUUUUGUUGUUAGUCAUUUAUUUUUUUCUAUAAUAAACUGUAGGUCUUUGCUGAAAAACUAGA